UUAAAAAUUAUUUUCCCAAUUAGAGAAGACAUCUGCUAUGCUUCAGGUCUACUUCAUCAGGUGAUAUGUUUUACAAAUCUAAAAUGUUUGACAACAUAGCCUGUACAUGACCCAAGGUAUUGGCUUUGCUAUUGCUACCUCAAUCAUCAUCCUUGCAACUGGCUGGUAAUGUCGUACAUAAUUCGAAUUUUGCAGGUAAUUGUUAGUAAAUAUUAUGUGACUGGAAAUGAUGCUGGCCGAGGAACACUAAACACUAGGGGCUUCCCAUGGUGAGCCCCAUCACCGCUGCAUAUGACGAGGGCUUGCUCCCCUCCUUUGCGUGGCCAACUUCAAAAACUACCAGUACGUAGUGCGUCGCUCACCCCCACCCUCCCACACACACACACACCAUUACAUUGCCUCUUAAACUUGUACUUAUCUAAUGGGUAAGCAGGCAGUGUGUUUCACAUAUUGAAGCAGCUUGGGAUCUUGCAUAUUCCAUUGGCAGCUAUGUGUUCAGUAGUGGUUCUGACCCCAAGUCACAGGUCUGCAAUUUUAUCAUACUUCUAGAUACAUGAGCACCCUGAAAUGUUGAAACAACCUUUUUGUCUCAUGAUUUGUUUGUGUUGUUUUGCUGUGCUUAAAAUUAUUUAAAGUGUGAUAUGUUAUUACUCCACUCCAAAUAAUAACAACAAAUCAAUGCAACUCUGAAAUGUUAAAUUUUGUCAGAUUCAUUGGUACUGGUCAGUUACUUGAGCCAUCAACAGAAAAUGUGCACUGAUUGAACUGCGAAGUGGAUCAUAAAUAAUGAUUCCUUAGUACCGAUUUGUUCUCCUUUUUAGUUUUCACAAUGAAUAUCAUAAAAUUCAUUUUGCACAUGCUUGAGUGUUCAAUAUGGAUAAUCUCAUUACAAUGCAGUGACCUUACUUUGAGCUGCUCCUCGCCGACGUAGGCCAACACAUCACAUCUUUACUAUAUGGUGUUAUGAAAAAACAUAUUAGAUUACAUCUCAUGUUGUGUUUUAGCCGAAGCUUGAUGAUGGUAUAUCGUUGAUAAUUGAUUCUUUUUUAUUCUGAUACCCAUCUUACGGUUGCCAUUGUGCUUUGUUGAUUUAUAGCUUUUCGAUGGGCACAACAAAUCAGGAGCUACCAUAUACGCAAGGGAGAAUCUAUUGAACAAU
rnacentral:lncRNA from 1 species